CAUGGAGAGGCUUGGAGAUUAGCUACGCCUGUGCAGGACCAUGAGCCUUGCACCUUUUCCCAAUCACCUUUCCCCCACGCCCCCUCUCGCCUCAGCCAGCUCCCCUCUGCUUCUUCAUUGGUCAUCCCCUGAAUACUCCACCCUCUUGUCUUCUGGGGCUUUGAUUUGAGGCUUGUUCUCCCAUUUCCUCACCUUGCAAGUAACUGUCCUUGCUGCGAGCCUCGCUGAUUCAGCGUUUUGGCUUGCUCUGCCUCCCGAAAAAUGAACCUGGCCCAGUAACAAAUUUGGUGGGUCAACCAGGAGAUGGUGUAAAAUGAAGCUGUGAAGCCUGACCCACCACCAUGAAGAGGGAGCCUUAAUCUGCUGGCCCAAAGUGUAAAACCUGAGAGUGGAACUUGCAUUAAGAAAAGCAGCUGAAACAUGAAGGGAAAAUAGUGUUUGAAACCCUGGAUCAAGUCUUACCUGAGGGAGAUUUAACUGGGACCUUGAUCCCAAAAUAUUCAUCUUGGAGAGACUCAAUGCUGAAGAAUAGAGGAGACUUCAUUCAUUGGGAAGGGCAUCUGAUGACAAGGAUAAAGGGUGAUGGAUACUGAAAAUUUACCUAGAUUCUGGGCCACUGAAUGACAUGCUUUUCCCCAGUGUCAGGGGGCCCCAGAAGCAAGAAUAUCCAUGACUCAGGUCACAUCAAAGGAACCUCUGACGUCUGCCUGCACACUCCUGUCUGAACUUCACCCAGUAACUAGGACUCAUGCCCAUUUAUCUAGAGAAACCACCGUUCAGUGGAGCGGAUAGCCGGGUACAGGCUACAUUGCAGCCAGCGGGACUUUAUGAGCAGGAAAUUCAUUCUUGAGAUUGGAGAAGAAACGUGGGUAAUGAGAUAAGGGAAGCGAUGAACCAAACAGCAAGGAAAAUUAAAAAGCACUUGCGGGUUCUGCCUGAAGCUCUUAAUUAACCAUAUUCUCCACAACACAGAGCAAAUCCAUCUGGGCAACCCUGGAAGUAAAAACAUAGCACGUAGCACUCGGUGAUGGGUCACGGCUGGCAAAGUGGUAGGUCAAACACUGAAGAUAUGAGAAGCCCCCAAACUCCCAAAUCAAAAGCAAUGGUGAGGCGGAAGCUAGAAUGCCCUAAACUUAAUGAACUAAUAAAUUAACUUCCCUCAAACUUGGCACAUCAUGCUAAGAAGACAGUGUUUAGAGCUGCCACAACAGCUCUAAAAAGAAAUGGGAAGAGACAGCUGCAGGAACGUGGAUGGCAGCUGCAGCACAAAACUUCACAAGUUCUGACCUCAGCAAAUAAAGCCAGUCACAGCAUCAUUUGCUUUGUCCUUGGGAAGCCAGGCACUUUUGCCGCUACCUUGCGGAUGAGCCAAAACUGUUUCUACCCAAAGCAUUUUAUUUAGGGCUUUUAUAUGACCACAAACUGGGUGUCAAGCAAAAAUCUUACAUCCUAACAUUUGGGCCAGGCAGAAGAUAUUCCUGCUGUUUACGGGGUGGGGAUAAAACACCGUCAGGCUCUGUUAAAUCAUGCAGACACACCUAGCUAAAAAGUGAAAUCUGCAGCCAACAGAAAGAUCAUUUCCUGGAUACCCAGUGCUGGACCACAUAACACGGACUAGUUCAUCACAUCUUCGUUCCAGACCUCCUGGAUAUUAUUUUACCCUCAUUUUACAGCUGUGAAUUUUGAGGCUCAGAGAGGUUAAGCAACUUGCCUCAUGUGGUUCCCAGCUAACAGGUAUUAGAAGCUAGGAUAUAAACUAGGUCCAAAAGGUCCAGAGGUAACCGAAUUCCAUCUACUUCAUCAUGUUAGCUCCUCAUUCUACACAGUGCUUACCCAGGAUAACCAGGCUAUUCAUACUUGUGGAGAUAUGGAAAUGUUUACCAUAGUGAAUACUAUGAAUCAAAUACUCAAAAUAACAGUCUCAGAGCAGGAAGCUGCCUCAUGAGUCAUCUAGUCCAAGAACCCAGCCUAUGCUUAGAAUUUCAGAAAAGGACUUUUACACAGUUUGAAAUAAGGCAGUAACUUUCCAGAGAGGUGAGUAGUCUUGGGGUUGGGAAAAACCAUUUAUGAGACAC